rnacentral:rRNA from 1 species
AUUCCAGCUCCAAUAGCGUAUACUAAAGUUGUUGCAGUUAAAAAGCUCGUAGUUGAAUUUCUGGUCGUGGCGAUCGGUCCGCCCCUCACCGGGUGUGCACCUGGUCUCUACGUCCAUCCUCGGGGAGAGCAUGCCUGGCAUUCAGUUGUCGGGUAUGGGAUCCUCGUCAUUUACUGUGAGCAAAAUAGAGUGUUCAAAGCAGGCUUAGGCCGUUGAAUACAUUAGCAUGGAAUAAUAAGAUAGGACCUUGGUCUAUUUUGUUGGUUUGCAUUCCAAGGUAAUGAUUAAUAGGGAUAGUUGGGGGUAUUCGUAUUCAAUUGUCAGAGGUGAAAUUCUUGGAUUUAUGGAAGACGAACUACUGCGAAAGCAUUUACCAAGGAUGUUUUCAUUG